AGGACGAACGCUGGCGGCGUGCUUAACACAUGCAAGUCACGGGGGCCCGCAAGGGUAACCGGCGAACGGGUGCGUAACACGUGAGCAACCUGCCGAUCUGAGGGGGAUAGCCGGCCCAACGGCCGGGUAAUACCGCAUACGUUCUUGUGGGACAUCCCCGUAAGAAGAAACCUCCGGGGCAGAUCGAGGGGCUCGCGGCCUAUCAGCUAGUUGGUGAGGUAACGGCUCACCAAGGCGACGACGGGUAGCUGGUCUGAGAGGAUGGCCAGCCACAUUGGGACUGAGAGACGGCCCAGACUCCUACGGGAGGCAGCAGUGGGAAUCUUGCGCAAUGGCCGAAAGGCUGACGCAGCGACGCCGCGUGUGGGAUGAAGCAUUUCGGUGUGUAAACCACUGUUGCCCGGGACGAACAGCUCUUUUCGAGGAGCCUGACGGUACCGGGUGAGGAAGCACCGGCUAACUCCGUGCCAGCAGCCGCGGUAA
rnacentral:rRNA from 1 species